GCGGCUUAAUUUGACUCAACACGGGGAAACUUACCAGGUCCAGACAUAGUAAGGAUUGACAGACUGAGAGCUCUUUCUUUUUUUUUGAUCAAAUGUAAACAAUUUCAUAAAAUGAUCAAAGAGUUACACAAAUUUUCUGGGGCAUAC
rnacentral:ncRNA from 1 species